rnacentral:rRNA from 1 species
CACGGGGGGAGCAAGCGUUGUUCGGAAUUACUGGGCGUAAAGGGCGUGUAGGCGGUCAAGUAAGUGGAAUGUGAAACGCCUCGGCUUACCCGAGGACCUGCAUCCCAAACUGCUUGGCUUGAGUAUGGGAGAGGAUGAGGGAAUUCCUGGUGUAGCGGUGAAAUGCGUAGAUAUCAGGAGGAACACCGGUGGCGAAAGCGCUCAUCUGGCCCAAUACUGACGCUGAGGCGCGAAAGCUAGGGGAGCAAACAGG